AUUGAACGCUGGCGGAAUGCUUUACACAUGCAAGUCGAACGGCAGCACGGACUUCGGUCUGGUGGCGAGUGGCGAACGGGUGAGUAAUGUAUCGGAACGUGCCCAGUCGUGGGGGAUAACGUAGUGAAAAUUACGCUAAUACCGCAUACGGUCUAUGGAUGAAGGCGGGGGAUCGCAAGCCCUUGCGCGAUUGGAGCGGCCGAUAUCAGAUUAGGUAGUUGGUGGGGUAAAGGCCCACCAAGCCAACGAUCUGUAGCUGGUCUGAGAGGACGAACAGCCACACUGGAACUGAGACACGGUCCAGACUCCUACGGGAGGCAGCAGUGGGGAAUUUUGGACAAUGGGCGAAAGCCUGAUCCAGCCAUUCCGCGUGCAGGAUGAAGGCCCUCGGGUUGUAAACUGCUUUUGUACAGAACGAAAAGGUUUCUACUAAUACUAGGAGCUCAUGACGGUACUGUAAGAAUAAGCACCGGCUAACUACGUGCCAGCAGCCGCAGUAA
rnacentral:rRNA from 1 species